GCUGGCGGCAUGCCUAAUACAUGCAAGUCGAACGGUAACGGACCGCUGGGAUUCCUUCGGGAUGACCUUGGUGCCGACGAGUGGCGGACGGGUGAGUAAUACUUAGGAAUCUGCCCAGUAGUGGGGGACAACAUUCGGAAACGGAUGCUAAUACCGCAUACGCACUACGGUGGAAAUGGGGGACCUUCGGGCCUCACGCUAUUGGAUGAGCCUAAGUCGGAUUAGCUUGUUGGUGAGGUAAUAGCUCACCAAGGCGACGAUCCGUAGCUGGUCUGAGAGGACGAUCAGCCACACUGGGACUGAGACACGGCCCAGACUCCUACGGGAGGCAGCAGUGGGGAAUAUUGGACAAUGGGCGCAAGCCUGAUCCAGCAAUGCCGCGUGUGUGAAGAAGGCCUGCGGGUUGUAAAGCACUUUCAGUAGAGAAGAAAAGCCUAGGGUUAAUACCCCUGAGUCUUGACGUAACCUACAGAAGAAGCACCGGCUAACUCCGUG
rnacentral:rRNA from 1 species